rnacentral:sRNA from 1 species
GCCGGCGCCUUCGCCCAACCCUUUGUGAAUCGCGCCCGAUUUCCCCGGGGGGACCGCCUGCCCAGCGCGCGCGGCCCCCCGGCGGACCCCGCCAACUCGUGUUGUACCUGCCGUCCGAGUCGUAUGAGAAAUCAAACAAAAACUUUCAACAACGGAUCUCUUGGUUCUGGCAUCGAUGAAGAACGCAGCGAAAUGCGAUAAGUAAUGUGAAUUGCAGAAUUCAGUGAAUCAUCGAAUCUUUGAACGCACAUUGCGCCCCCUGGUAUUCCGGGGGGCAUGCCUGUUCGAGCGUCAUUUCAACCAAACCAGCCCCGCUGGGUGUUGGGCGUCGCGGUCCGCCGCGCGCCUCAAAGUCUUCGGCGGAAGCCGCCCGUUCCUCUGCGUGAUGCAUCGUCGUCGCUCGGGACACGGGGGUGAGCGCCCGGAAACCGUCGGCGGAGACGCCCGGCGAGUGAAGCGGCAACAGCUCAAAUUUGAAAUCUGGCGCAAGCCCGAGUUGUAAUUUGUAGAGGAUGCUUCUGGGUAGCGGCCGGUCUAAGUUCCUUGGAACAGGACGUCACAGAGGGUGAGAAUCCCGUAUGUGAUCGGCGCGCGCCCUCUACGUAGCUCCUUCGACGAGUCGAGUUGUUUGGGAAUGCAGCUCUAAAUGGGAGGUAAAUUUCUUCUAAAGCUAAAUACUGGCCAGAGACCGAUAGCGCACAAGUAGAGUGAUCGAAAGAUGAAAAGCACUUUGGAAAGAGAGUUAAAAAGCACGUGAAAUUGUUGAAAGGGAAGCGCUUGCAACCAGACUUGCGGGUGGUGUUCCGCCGGGCUUCUGCCCGGUCUACUCGCCGCUCGCAGGCCAUCAUCGUCUGGGGCCGCCGGAGAAACCGUCAGGAAUGUGGCUCCCUCGGGAGUGUUAUAGCCUGUCGACAUGCGGCGCGCCCCGGGCGAGGUCCGCGCACUGCAAGGAUGAUGGCGUAAUGGUUGUCAGCGGCCCGUCUUGAAACACGGACCAAGGAGUCUAACAUCUAUGCGAGUGUUCGGGUGUCAAACCCCUACGCGUAAUGAAAGUGAACGGAGGUGGGAGCUUCGGCGCACCAUCGACCGAUCCUGAUGUCCUCGGAUGGAUUUGAGUAAGAGCAUA